UAAGGAUACCUCUUGCUGAUGCUC
rnacentral:siRNA from 1 species